UACAGAGGGUGCGAGCGUUAAUCGGAAUUACUGGGCGUAAAGCGCACGUAGUCGGCUUUGCAAGUCGAUUGUGAAAUCCCCGGGCUCAACCUGGGAACUGCAUCCGAGACUGCAUUGCUAGAGUAUGGGAGAGGAAAGCGGAAUUUCUGGUGUAGCAGUGAAAUGCGUAGAUAUCAGAAGGAACAUCAGUGGCGAAGGCGGCUUUCUGGACCAAUACUGACGAUCAGGUGCGAAAGCGUGGGGAGCAAACAGG
rnacentral:rRNA from 1 species